rnacentral:rRNA from 1 species
UAGGGAAUCUUCCGCAAUGGGCGAAAGCCUGACGGAGCAACGCCGCGUGAGUGAUGAAGGUCUUCGGAUCGUAAAACUCUGUUAUUAGGGAAGAACAAAUGUGUAAGUAACUAUGCACGUCUUGACGGUACCUAAUCAGAACGCCACGGCUAACUACGUGCCAGCAGCCGCGGUAAUACGUAGGUGGCAAGCGUUAUCCGGAAUUAUUGGGCGUAAAGCGCGCGUAGGCGGUUUUUUAAGUCUGAUGUGAAAGCCCACGGCUCAACCGUGGAGGGUCAUUGGAAACUGGAAAACUUGAGUGCAGAAGAGGAAAGUGGAAUUCCAUGUGUAGCGGUGAAAUGCGCAGAGAUAUGGAGGAACACCAGUGGCGAGGGCGACUUUCUGGUCUGUAACUGACGCUGAUGUGCGAAAGCGUGGGGAUCAAACAGG